rnacentral:rRNA from 1 species
AGAGUUUGAUCAUGGCUCAGAACGAACGCUGGCGGCGUGGAUAAGACAUGCAAGUCGAACGAGACUUUCCGUUGUAGCAAUACGAUGGAAAGUUUAGUGGCGAACGGGUGCUUAACACGUGGGCAACCUGCCAUGAAGUGGGGGAUAGCUCGCCGAAAGGGAAUUAAUACCGCAUGUGAUUAGAGAGGACAUCCUUUCAAAAUUAAAGUCGGGGCAACCUGACGCUUCUUGUGGGGCCCGCGGCCUAUCAGCUAGUUGGUGAGGUAACGGCUCACCAAGGCUUUGACGGGUAGCUGGUCUGAGAGGACGACCAGCCACACUGGGACUGAGACACGGCCCAGACACCUACGGGUGGCAGCAGUCGAGAAUUUUUGACAAUGGGGGAAACCCUGAUCGAGCGACGCCGCGUGGAGGAUGAAGGUCUUCGGAUUGUAAACUCCUGUCAUUUGGGAACAAGGUGCACACGUUAACUGCGUGUGUAUUGAUAGUACCAGAAGAGGAAGAGACGGCUAACUCUGUGCCAGCAGCCGCGGUAAUACAGAGGUCUCAAGCGUUGUUCGGAUUCAUUGGGCGUAAAGGGUGCGUAGGCGGGCGCGGUAAGUCGGGUGUGAAAUCUCGGAGCUUAACUCCGAAACUGCAUUCGAUACUGCCGUGCUUGAGGACUGGAGAGGAGACUGGAAUUUACGGUGUAGCGGUGAAAUGCGUAGAUAUCGUAAGGAAGACCAGUGGCGAAGGCGGGUCUCUGGACAGUUCCCGACGCUGAGGCACGAAGGUCAGGGGAGCAAACGGGAUUAGAUACCCUAGUAGUCC